rnacentral:rRNA from 1 species
UACGUAGGGGGCAAGCGUUGUCCGGAUUCAUUGGGCGUAAAGAGCUCGUAGGUGGCCAACUAAGUCAGACGUGAAAUCCCUCGGCUUAACCGGGGAACUGCAUCUGAUACUGGAUGGCUUGAGAUUGGGAGAGGGAUGCGGAAUUCCAGGUGUAGCGGUGAAAUGCGUAGAUAUCUGGAGGAACACCGGUGGCGAAGGCGGCAUCCUGGACCAACACUGACGCUGAGGUGCGAAAGCGUGGGGAGCAAACAGG